rnacentral:rRNA from 1 species
CAUAACCUUUAGCUAAACCAGUAUUAAAGGCAACGCCUGCCCAGUGAAUAAUUAAACGGCCGCGGUACCCUAACCGUGCAAAGGUAGCGUAAUCAUUUGUCUAUUAAUUGUAGACCUGUAUGAAAGGCAUAAUGAGGGUUUAACUGUCUCUUUUAGUAAAUCAAUUAAACUGAUCUCCUAGUCCAAAAGCUAGGAUACCAACAUAAGACCAGAAGACCCUGUGAAACUUUAACUAAAAUAUUAAAGCCUAUAAUAACUACUUUAGGUUGGGGCGACCUUGGAAAAUAAAAGAACUUCCAUACACAUAUUAUACAAUAAUACAUCACCGGCUAACAAGCCUAUAACGACCCAGCACAGCUGAUAAUUGAACCAAGCUACUCCAGGGAUAACAGCGCUAUCUUCUUCAAGAGCCCAUAUCAAAAAGAAGGUUUACGACCUCGAUGUUGGAUCAGGACAUCCUAAUGGUGCAACCGCUAUUAAGGGUUCGUUUGUUCAACGAUUAAUAGUCCUACGUGAUCUG